GACGAACGCUGGCGGCGUGCCUAAUACAUGCAAGUUGAGCGCUGAAGGUUGGUACUUGUACCAACUGGAUGAGCAGCGAACGGGUGAGUAACGCGUGGGGAAUCUGCCUUUGAGCGGGGGACAACAUUUGGAAACGAAUGCUAAUACCGCAUAAAAACUUUAAACACAAGUUUUAAGUUUGAAAGAUGCAAUUGCAUCACUCAAAGAUGAUCCCGCGUUGUAUUAGCUAGUUGGUGAGGUAAAGGCUCACCAAGGCGAUGAUACAUAGCCGACCUGAGAGGGUGAUCGGCCACAUUGGGACUGAGACACGGCCCAAGCUCCUACGGGAGGCAGCAGUAGGGAAUAUUCGGCAAUGGACGAAAGUCUGACCGAGCACCGCCGCGUGAGUGAAGAAGGUUUUCGGAUCGUAAAACUCUGUUGGUAGAGAAGAACGUUGGUGAGAGUGGAAAGCUCAUCAAGUGACGGUAACUACCCAGAAAGGGACGGCUAACUACGUG
rnacentral:rRNA from 1 species